GUGAGUAACACGUGGAUAACCUACCUAUAAGACUGGGGUAACUUCGGGAAACCGGAGCUAAUACCGGAUAAUAUUUUGAACCGCAUGGUUCAAAAGUGAAAGACGGUCUUGCUGUCACUUAUAGAUGGAUCCGCGCUGCAUUAGCUAGUUGGUAAGGUAACGGCUUACCAAGGCAACAAUGCAUAGCCGACCUGAGAGGGUGAUCGGCCACACUGGAACUGAGACACGGUCCAG
rnacentral:rRNA from 1 species